GAAGUCAUUAAUGAGUGUGUCAUUGUGGAAAUCAAAGCUAGAGAAUUUGAUGACAAACUGGGCAUGUGGGAGACUUAAGAGGAGUCAAGGUGACUUUAAUGUGACAUCUUUUCCCCUGUGAGUGACCCUUACUUGAGUUUGCCUUUUACUUCUCAAGAGCCUGUACUGGGUUUUGCUGUGUCGACUUGGUUUAGUUGGGAACUUCAUAUGCUUCCCUUUACGGUUCCAUGCCAGAGUUGAACAAAAUAGGAACUUGUACAAGGUUUGGAAGGCAGAAGUGAAGCAGCAGCCAUGAUGACUCUCCAAAGUUCAUUGUGGUCAGGUGAGGAGACAAGCACAGAGCUACCUGGUAGGUUUCAGCUCAUUCAGCUCUUCCUCAUCACACCCAGCAGCUCUGGGCCUGCCACCUCGUCCUUGGACCCCCAAAGGCAGCAGCCUCGGACAGACAAUCGACAGUUCCUGAGAGUUCCAGGCCUCCUGGAUGCGGAAGAGGGGAAAUUUCAGGACAGUUCCUGAACGUCCCAGCCUUCAAAGCCUCAUGCAAGGCCAGCAAACAGCCUCCAGAAUAAGGGGGAGAUCCUUCCCGAGUCAAGCUGGCUCCAGCUGGGAGGCCUGGGCGUUCGCAGCAUCCUUCCUGGUCUCCGCUGCCCAGGGCAGCGCCCCCUACCUUCUUUGCAAGGCUCCAUGCAGCGAAGGCAGUUUAGGACCGAGGGGAAGAGCGCCUGGUCCCCCAGUGCUGUUUCUUCUUAGCAGGCUGAGCUCCGAGUUUUAACAAUUAGAAAUGAAUUCUUUAACUUCA